AUGUCAUUCUGGGGACAAUUUGUCAGCAAGCCUUUGUAUCUCUCCCAUGCCUCAUAAAGUGUCGCCUCCUUGUUGUUCAAAAUUGGCAAUUUCUUUCUUUAACAU